ACGCGUAUGAAGGUCAAGCUGAAAGACUUUACUCAAUGAUGUAAGUGGUGGUGCAUGGUCGUUCUUAGUUCGUGGAUUGAUUCGUCUGGUCUAUUCCGAUAACGAGCGAGACCCCGGUGUUCCUAAUAGGGGCGGAAGCCCGCCGGUCGCAAGAUCGGUAGCGGCCGCUUGAGAUGUACUUCUUAGACACAUCAGAGCCGAUAAGGUUCUUGAAAUGGGUUAAUAACAGGUCAGUCAUGCCCUUAGAUGUUCUGGGCCGCACGCGCGUUACAAUGGCAAGAAAAGAGAGUGCUCCAAAAGGCGUUUCCUGGGCCUAACGGUCUGGGUAACCCUUAGUCCCUGCUUUGACUGGGACAGAUCAUUGCAAUUAUUGGUCUCCAACGAGGAAUUUUUAGUAAGCGCGGGUCAUUAACCCGUGCUUA
rnacentral:rRNA from 1 species